GGCGGGACACGUGGUAUCCUGUCUGAAUAUGGGGGGACCAUCCUCCAAGGCUAAAUACUCCUGACUGACCGAUAGUGAACCAGUACCGUGAGGGAAAGGCGAAAAGAACCCCGGCGAGGGGAGUGAAAAAGAACCUGAAACCGUGUACGUACAAGCAGUGGGAGCCUCUUUAUGGGGUGACUGCGUACCUUUUGUAUAAUGGGUCAGCGACUUAUAUUCUGUAGCAAGGUUAACCGUAUAGGGGAGCCGAAGGGAAACCGAGUCUUAACUGGGCGUUAAGUUGCAGGGUAUAGACCCGAAACCCGGUGAUCUAGCCAUGGGCAGGUUGAAGGUUGGGUAACACUAACUGGAGGACCGAACCGACUAAUGUUGAAAAAUUAGCGGAUGACCUGUGGCUGGGGGUGAAAGGCCAAUCAAACCGGGAGAUAGCUGGUUCUCCCCGAAAGCUAUUUAGGUAGCGCCUCGUGAACUCAUCUUCGGGGGUAGAGCACUGUUUCGGCUAGGGGGCCAUCCCGGCUUACCAACCCGAUGCAAACUACGAAUACCGAAGAAUGUUAUCACGGGAGACACACGGCGGGUGCUAACGUCCGUCGUGAAGAGGGAAACAACCCAGACCGCCAGCUAAGGUCCCAAAGUCAUGGUUAAGUGGGAAACGAUGUGGGAAGGCACAGACAGCCAGGAUGUUGGCUUAGAAGCAGCCAUCAUUUAAAGAAAGCGUAAUAGCUCACUGGUCGAGUCGGCCUGCGCGGAAGAUGUAACGGGGCUAAACCAUGCAC
rnacentral:rRNA from 1 species